rnacentral:rRNA from 1 species
CCUGGUGGUCAUAGCGAAGGAAUUCUACCCGAUCCCAUUCCGAACUCGGCCGUCAAAGCCUUCUGCGUCCAUGGUACUGCGGCUCAAGCCGCGGGAGAGUAGAACGCCGCCAGGU